AGCGAACGCUGGCGGCAGGCCUAACACAUGCAAGUCGAACGAACCUUUCGGGGUUAGUGGCGGACGGGUGAGUAACACGUGGGAACGUGCCUUUAGGUUCGGAAUAACUCAGGGAAACUUGUGCUAAUACAGAAUGUGCCCUUCGGGGGAAAGAUUCAUCGCCUUUAGAGCGGCCCGCGUCUGAUUAGCUAGUUGGUUGAGGUAAUGGCUAACCAAGGCGACGAGCAGUAGCUGGUCUGAGAGGAUGAUCAGCCACAUUGGGACUGAGACACGGCCCAAACUCCUACGGGAGGCAGCAGUGGGGAAUCUUGCGCAAUGGGCGAAAGCCUGACGCAGCCAUGCCGCGUGAAUGAUGAAGGUCUUAGGAUUGUAAAAUUCUUUCACCGGGGACGAUAAUGACGGUACCCGGAGAAGAAGCCCCGGCUAACUUCGUGCCAGCAGCCGCCGUAA
rnacentral:rRNA from 1 species